rfam:Triticum aestivum genome assembly, contig: Triticum_aestivum_CS42_TGACv1_scaffold_080540_1DS
AGAAUACUCCCUCCAUACGAAAAUACUUGUCCGAGGAAUGGAUGAAUCUAAAUGUAUUUUAGUUUUAGAUACGUCUAUUUAUAUCCAUUUCUUCGACAAGUAUUUCCAAACGGAGGGAGUAUAAG